CCUACGGGCGGCAGCAGUGAGGAAUAUUGGUCAAUGGACGAGAGUCUGAACCAGCCAAGUAGCGUGAAGGAUGACUGCCCUAUGGGUUGUAAACUUCUUUUAUAUGGGAAUAAAAUGUUCCACGUGUGGGAUUUUGUAUGUACCAUAUGAAUAAGGAUCGGCUAACUCCGUGCCAGCAGCCGCGGUAAUACGGAGGAUCCGAGCGUUAUCCGGAUUUAUUGGGUUUAAAGGGAGCGUAGGUGAAUUGUUAAGUCAGUUGUGAAAGUUUGCGGCUCAACCGUAAAAUUGCAGUUGAAACUGGCAGUCGUGAGUACAGUAGAGGUGGGCGGAAUGCGUGGUGUAGCGGUGAAAUGCUUAGAUAUCACGAAGAACUCCGAUUGCGAAGGCAGCUCACUGGACUGCAACUGACACUGAGGCUCGAAAGUGUGGGUAUCAAACAGGAUUAGAUACCCCUGUAGUC
rnacentral:rRNA from 1 species